rnacentral:rRNA from 1 species
UACGUAGGGGGCAAGCGUUGUCCGGAAUUAUUGGGCGUAAAGCGCGUGUAGGCGGUCCGGUAAGUCGGCUGUGAAAGCCCAGGGCUCAACCCUGGGAUGCCGACCGAUACUGUCGGACUAGAGUUCGGAAGAGGCGAGUGGAAUUCCCGGUGUAGCGGUGAAAUGCGCAGAUAUCGGGAGGAACACCUAUGGCGAAGGCAGCUCGCUGGGACGUUACUGACGCUGAGACGCGAAAGCGUGGGGAGCAAACAGG